GACGAACGCUGGCGGCGUGCCUAACACAUGCAAGUCGAACGGAAAGGCCCUGCUUUUGUGGGGUGCUCGAGUGGCGAACGGGUGAGUAACACGUGAGUAACCUGCCCUUGACUUUGGGAUAACUUCAGGAAACUGGGGCUAAUACCGGAUAGGAGCUCCUGCUGCAUGGUGGGGGUUGGAAAGUUUCGGCGGUUGGGGAUGGACUCGCGGCUUAUCAGCUUGUUGGUGGGGUAGUGGCUUACCAAGGCUUUGACGGGUAGCCGGCCUGAGAGGGUGACCGGCCACAUUGGGACUGAGAUACGGCCCAGACUCCUACGGGAGGCAGCAGUGGGGAAUAUUGCACAAUGGGCGGAAGCCUGAUGCAGCAACGCCGCGUGCGGGAUGACGGCCUUCGGGUUGUAAACCGCUUUCGCCUGUGACGAAGCGUGGGUGACGGUAAUGGGUAAAGAAGCACCGGCUAACUACGUG
rnacentral:rRNA from 1 species